rnacentral:rRNA from 1 species
GUGCCAGCAGCCGCGGUAACACGUAAGGGGCAAGCGUUGUUCGGAAUUAUUGGGCGUAAAGGGUGUGUAGGCGGUUUCGUAAGCCCGGCGUGAAAUACUGGAGCUCAACUCCAGAACUGCGCUGGGAACUGUGAGACUUGAGUCAUGGAAGGGGAGUUGGAAUUCCAGGUGUAGGGGUGAAAUCUGUAGAUAUCUGGAAGAACACCGGUGGCGAAGGCGAACUCCUGGCCAAUGACUGACGCUGAGACACGAAAGUGCGGGGAGCAAACAGGAUUAGAAACCCUCGUAGUCC